UAGAGGAAGAAAAGGUCAGCAUCAUAACCAUAUCACGCAUCAAAGAUCCAAGAAAGGAGUUUUGCCAGUAUAAAGUUGGGGAUUUGGUGAAAGCCAGCUGCCAUGGCUUUUCUGGCGUGCAUCCCGCCAAGAUCUUAGAUGAUGGAGCUGAUGCCUGGUAGUGGGAUCUACAUUUAUCCCAAAGAUAUACAAGCUUUAUAUAAGCCAAAAAAAAACAAACAAGUGGAACUUUUCAGGAAGGGGAACCUAACUGGUGCAAAUGAAAAGACCAUUUUAAACACUAUUCCUGACGAUGCCGGGAUUCAGAGGCCAUUGUCAAGUUUUCGAUGAGGACCAAGAUUAGUUCCCAAGUCAGCCUCCAGAACAUGAAACAGACCUAGCUUUUAUACAUUCAGUAAUGUGAGAUAUAUAUAUAUAUAUAUGGGAUUCCCUUCAUAAGGGAUUGUCCAAUUUUUAAUGUGAUAAUAUGUACAAAGAGUUAGUGAUGAAUAUUUUAUUUAUAUUUUUGUGCCAAACUUUAUAAAUGAUUGAUUGUUUGAUGUUGGAAGAGAGAACCCAGAUACAAUGUACCUUGGAAGAGACCACCGACCUUCCGAAAGUAAACUGGGAAACUUUCUCACUUACCGGCGCGAGCGGGAUUCGAACCCGCGCCGACAGAGGUGAGAGGCCAUGUGAUUUGGAGCGCGAUGCUCUAACCACUCGGCCACCUUUAUAAAUGAAAUUAAUAUACCAAUAAUAGUCGCUGUUUAUAAUCGGUAAUGUCUUAUUAUCCCCAUCAUUUUUGUAACUUUUCCAUAACUUUUGUCGGGUAUAACUUUUUUGUAACUUUUCCAUAACUUUUGUCGGGUAUAACUUUUAUGUAACUUUCUCCAUAACUUUUGUUGGGUAUAACUUUUUUGUAACUUUUCCAUAACUUUUGUCGGGUAUAACUUUUUUGUAACUUUUCCAUAACUUUUGUCGGGUAUAACUUUUAUGUAACUUUCUCCAUAACUUUUGUUGGGUAUAACUUUUUUGUAACUUUUCCAUAACUUUUGUCAGGUAUAACUUUUUUGUAACUUUUCCACAAUUUUUGUUGGGUAUAACUUUUUUGUAACUUUUCCAUAACUUAAGUAUAACUUUUUGAUAACUUUUGUGAAGUAUAACUUUUUUGAAGUAUAACUUUUUGAUAACUUUUAUGCACUUGUUGUAUUCAUGUUGAAAUAAAAGAUGAUAACUUAUA